CAGAGUUAUCUAACUCCCACCCUUUGUUUAACUAUACCUUUGUUGCUUUGGCAGGCCUGCCUUACAGCUCCCGGCCACUUGGCUGGGUCGUGCCUGCCAGAGGACCCAAAACUCUUAUUAUUCAGUAUUGUCUGAGCCAUGAUUUAAUCAUAUA
rnacentral:misc_RNA from 1 species